rnacentral:rRNA from 1 species
UACGUAGGGGGCUAGCGUUAUCCGGAAUUACUGGGCGUAAAGGGCGCGUAGGCGGAUAUUUAAGUCAGAUGUGAAAACUCCGGGCUCAACUUGGAGAUUGCAUUUGAAACUGGGUAUCUUGAGGACAGGAGAGGAAAGCGGAAUUCCUAGUGUAGCGGUGAAAUGCGUAGAUAUUAGGAGGAACACCAGUGGCGAAGGCGGCUUUCUGGACUGUAACUGACGCUGAGGCGCGAAAGCGUGGGGAGCAAACGGGAUUAGAUACCCGGGUAGUCCCUGAG